rnacentral:rRNA from 1 species
CUGCGGGAAACUGUAGCUAAUACCGUAUACUCCAGUAAUGGGAAAGAUUUAUCGCUAUAAGAUUGGCCCGCGCAAGAUUAGCUUGUUGGUGAGGUAAAAGCUCACCAAGGCUUCGAUCUUUAGCUGGUUUGAGAGGACGAUCAGCCACACUGGGACUGAGACACGGCCCAGACUCCUACGGGAGGCAGCAGUAGGGAAUAUUGGACAAUGGGGGCAACCCUGAUCCAGCAAUGCAGCGUGAGUGACGAAGGCCUUAGGGUUGUAAAACUCUUUCAUCGGUGAGGAUAAUGACAGUAGCCGAAGAAUAAGGAUCGGCUAA